AUCAGAUAAAAAGAAACGAAUCGAAAAAGUUAGGAUUCAAGGCCAAAAGCACAUCGUCCAAAGCCAUAUCGUAUACGAAGAAAUAACAUCCAUCCACCGAUCUUUAAACGAAAGAAAGUGACACGCCUAUCCAACGUACAAUCGAAUUCCAAAAAAAUUAGAUUUCGAGCAAACUUCUUCUGUGACCUAAUCGCAUUACGUCGAUAUCUAAUAUUUCACCCUAAAAAGAGGAGAGAAAGAGAGAGAGAAAGAGAAAACACAGAGUUUGUUCCAUCAAUCUUCGAUAACACCACAGUCUCUCACAGAACAAUCUCGCAACAGAGGAAAGCAAUAUCCUCCAACCCUUCCAACAAGCUAAGAAGAAAGAAAGAAAGAAAGAAAAACAAGAUACAACACUAAAGCUUUAUACAGUGUACUAAAAACUUCUGCAAUUUUCAACGUUACGUCAAAGGAGCAAUAAGACCAUCACCAUCUUAUCAUCCAUCUUCCUUCAUCAUCCUUCCUUCAAUUUAAAAAAAAAAAAAAUACAUCCCUAGAUACGCCAUACCAAGUGUCAUCCCCAAUCAUCGAUCGGUCACUCAUCCUCGAUCUUCGAACAAUCAUCUUCCGAUCAAUUUCUCGAGUCGAAGCAUAGAAUCGAGUCGAAUCGAAUUCAAUCCCCUGGAACGUCAAGGGAUCAAGGGACAAUCGGUUGAGAGAGAAAGGGUGGCCGCAUGCGGGUACGACGAAUGCGGCCUGGAGCAGCGACGCAUCCGGGGCGAGAAAGCAGCGGCCGGAGUCACUGACCUCUCACCCCCAAUCACCGUCCAGAGUGUGAUGUUUGAUGCUGCAGUGGUGUUUUAUGCGGCGACGUCGAAAAGGUGCUUUCAACACCGAGCCAGUUAACGUUCACCGUACGACGACACACAGGGCAUAUUCUCGCCGCGGGGAACCUUGACACGCCGCGAUAAACGCUUGCCCCCUCUCCUCGGCCGAAAUAUUACGAGCGAGCACGAGGCACGGAAACGAGUCGUCCGAUUCAUCGUGUCGGCUCGAUCGGUGACGAGUUUCGACGAACGUUGCCGAUCGCCGCGGAUCUUCCCCCCUUCCCCCCCAUUAGGACCACCGUUCGCCAAAUAGGCGGCCAGUUUCGCGCGUGACACGCACCGGUGUCGACGUACGGUGUCGCGGUUGUCGCGCGAUGCAGCUACGCCACUUCCGUUCCCGUCCAACCUGCACGGCCGCGUCGCGGAAAUCGUCGUGACGCCUCUACGUGUGUGCCUCUUGUGCUCUCUCCAUCUCGUGAUUGUCCACUGUACGGCCGAUGAUGGGAUUUAUUAUGGGCUGCGCGUGCUUCAAAGCUGCCAUCCUGUCGCAUCUGUUUCAAGGUAAGAGUCGUCAAAUUUCUAAGAAUAUUCGACGUAAAGGAUACAAGUUUAGAGACUCGAAAAUGUGUAAGUUAACAUGUAUCUAAUUGCAACGUGAUUUUCUAAAAAAAUCUAUAGAAAGAAAUUAUAUUUAUUCGUGUAAUCAUAGAAAUUAUACAAUAACCAAGAUGCAAGAUGUGUCAAAAAUUAAACAAAGAACGUAUUAUAAUAUAAUCAAUCCGAGUUAUAACGAGUUAAAACUUCUACAAACUUGUCAAAAUCUUCUCAAAAUGAAGAGAAGGAAAAAAGAAAGUAGAAAAAGAAUGGCAAACAUCCGGGUUUACCUUCAACCCUGUUACACCCCUCGACGUCCAUCGUAUCGCAAAAAGUGUUUCCAACGGUCCUCCACCUUUCCCCUUCGUCGAAUCGAUACUGUUUAUCGCGUUCCAAAGAUGUCCCGUGAAUCAGUCGGCGCGUGGAAAAAUAUUCGUCUGGGUGAUCGUAAACGUUGGUGGUCCAUGAACUGUGCGCGUGUAUCCGCGUAUACACGUCUGAAAUUUAUUUCUUGAUUCGUGGAUGCGCCCUCGGGAGAUGUCGGUGGUUUCAACCGUAAAACAGGUUGCCAUGGCUACCCAAGCGAGUUUUACGAGUGCCUUGAACCCUCCUACGAAUUGCAACCCCACCCUCGUGGGUCUUUUACCCUUGUAUCCCCAAUUCCUGCCCUCCAAAAUCAUUCCUCGUUCCGGAAACUUCCGGAUCUCGUCGAUCCACGAUCUGUUUUUUCGGCUUGAAAAAUUCCAUUCGGUGAAUGGAAAACACAUACGGGCUCGUCUCGAAUAAAUGAAGGCUGGCGCUAUUUAUAAGCGGGUUCAGACGUCUGGCUGAGGGUCAACGGGGUUCAGAUGGAUCACGAUUUUAUUGCGAGAUUAAUUGGAAUUUGAAUGGAGGGGUGGUAAAUAAGGAUGGUUAAUAGAUUCGAGGGUAGAAGCGAGUAGUUUAAAAAUUCUUCUUCACUUUGUAAAUUAAUUUCG